rnacentral:rRNA from 1 species
GACGAACGCUGGCGGCGUGCUUAACACAUGCAAGUCGAACGGAAAGGCCCUGCUUUUGUGGGGUGCUCGAGUGGCGAACGGGUGAGUAACACGUGAGUAACCUGCCCUUGACUUUGGGAGAACUUCAGGAAACUGGGGCUAAUACCGGAUAGGAGCUCCUGCUGCAUGGUGUGGGUUGGAAAGUUUCGGCGGUGGUGGAUGGACUCGCGGCUUAUCAGCUUGUUUGUGGGGUAGUGGCUUACCAAGGCUUUGACGGGUAGCCGGCCUGAGAGGGUGAACGGCCACAUUGGGACUGAGGUACGGCCCAGACUGCUACGGGAGGCAGCAGUGGGGAAUAUUGCGCAAUGGGCGGAAGCCUGAUGCAGAAACGCCGCGUGCGGGAUGACGGCCUUCGGGUUGUAAACCGCUUUCGCCUGUAACGAAGAGUGAGUGACGGUAAUGGGUAAAGAAGCACCGGCUAACUACGUG